rnacentral:lncRNA from 1 species
GGAAGGAGUCUUGCCUCCCUGCCGUCCGCCCGCAGUAAGCGCUACGCGAUAUCACUGGUCGGUCAUGUGUGCGUCACUAUUAUCACGUUCACACAACAUUGGUACCGUUCGGAGGAGUCGAGUGAUCGUCGUCGUCGUCUUCUCCAACUGCAUCUCCAUCUCCGUCUACGUUUUCGUCGUCUUCUUCGUCAUUAUUGCUACUACGGGAAAGUAACUGGACUUUUAUUCUCGCCUCAUGGUAACGGCCUCGUUUCUAUACGGUGAUAUCUUCUAUUCGA